rnacentral:rRNA from 1 species
UACGUAGGGUCCGAGCGUUGUCCGGAAUUAUUGGGCGUAAAGGGCUCGUAGGCGGUUUGUUGCGUCGGGAGUGAAAACUUCGAGCUUAACUCGGAGCUUGCUUUCGAUACGGGCAGACUUGAGGCAUUCAGGGGAGAACGGAAUUUCUGGUGUAGCGGUGAAAUGCGCAGAUAUCAGAAGGAACACCGGUGGCGAAGGCGGUUCUCUGGGGAAUGUUCUGACGCUGAGGAGCGAAAGUGUGGGGAGCGAACAGG